GACACUGAUGGAGGGAGCCUGAAAUGUACUAAGUCAGUCCUGUUUUGGCUAUCCACCCAGAUUACGGUGCCACUGUCACACUCAAACAUAACAGUAGUUUCUUAAUGCUAUCAAGUUUCUAGGCAGUGUUCUAAUUUCCAGUCCCUCGUAACAUUAUGAAUUAUUUUUAACAGUUCAAAUCAGAAUCCAAAUAAAGGCCCCAAGUUAUAAUAGCUUGAUAUGACUUUUAAGUCUUUGAGGCCCAGUUAGGUUCAGGGCUGAGGUUUUGGGCAAGGUUGCUUCAUGAGCCAUGGUGUGCUUUGCCAUCAAGAGUCUCUGGUCUCUUGUGUCGUGAUGCUAGCAGUGUUGAUGCUCCAUGCUAAGCCACUGGUUUAUUCUGGAGAUGUGUUAAACAUCACUCCCAUGCACUGUUCAGCAUGAAACCAGGGUCUCUUCACUGAGCAAAGGCUGACACAGCAGGUGCAUGUGGUGCUGUAAUCACCUUGGUGGCCACUCUUAUCAACUUGAGGUCUUUGCUCUUAAGUCCCUUCAGCUUGAUCAGACAGCAGCAUCUAGGCAUGACCCCACCUCUUGAUAUAAACCACUUCUCUCUCCCUUCUCCAAGUCCGUUUUCUUGUAGGGGCCGCCAUAUUCGCCUGUGACUCUGCCUCCAUGGAUCACAGUUGAUUGGUCCAGUGGACACAUGACCCACAUGAUCCACUCAGAGUCUUCCUCUGAGAUUUUUCACAGGGUUGGGAGCAGGAGCCGUCCCUCCCAUGCAAGGCCAGCAGAAGCCGGCAGAUGCGUGGUUCCGGUGCAGUCACUUCUGCCCCCAUGUGGAAGAAGCUGUUUUGGAGACAGAACUGAGUUGGCGAGCAGAGAGAAAUGGGUGUGAGAGAGACAGAGGUUUUUCAUGCUCUCUAGUUGAACUGUCACAGAGACCCAGGUCCACUCCUGCCCUCUCCGCGGUCUGGAGUUCUAUCAAGCUGGAGUGGAAAUAGGGUGUGAGGGAAGAAAAGGUCCUAGCAGCUGGCUGCAAGCCGCUCUCUCACUUGUAAAUGAGAGCGGUGCUGGAAAGCAAGCUCCUGCUUCUGUAUUUGUUCAGGCCAUGGAGGGAGCACCUCCUACCCCAAACCCACCCAACACCUGUUGAGAAACACUGACCCCAUUGCACAGUUUGGAUUUACACGGACUCUGUAUAACACCUUGUAAAGAAAGCCACUGGUGCAGAAGAUUAAAGAAUGCCAUUAAGUAAGUUGUUUUAUUUCUUCUGAGACCGAAGGAAGGCUGAAAAAGUGCAAGGACAUGUCGCUGAGUUAUUUACUCUGUUACCAGGGACUGUGCAUUGCCUCCCAAAAGCACGCCAGCUGGGUCACCAUGGUCGUUUAUAAGGUGUGAAUGUGGAGGGGGGGCCAGCGCCAUCCUGGGGGGAAGCUUGGAGCAGUCACGUGGAUCUAAAUGGAAAGUUAGUGCCAGUAAAAGCUCCUGGGGCCGGCCUGGCGUCCUGGCCCUGGCAGGACACUGAAGGAGGUCUGCACAGCUCCAUGAGUGCCCACAAGUCCCUGGGUGGAAUGCCUGUCAAGACCCUGCCCAUUUGGGCUGCUGUGUCCCUUUAUGAAGUUCUGCAAAUCCUUUUCUGGAGCUCAGGGUGAAUGGAGCCCCUUUCGCUCCCAGCUGCCUAGGAGCAUGGGAGCGGGGAGGGUUUCACACCGGGGCUGAAGACAGCUCGUGCUACACGUGAGGCUGUCUGGGUUUCUGGCCUCCUUCUGGCCUGCUCCCUGAGCAGCUGGCUUGAGGGAGCACAGGGGUCUUGGAAAAGUACCCUAGGGUUGCAGGGGACAGAUGCGGACUUGUAGAGGACAGAUUUGGACUUGAAUUGGCUUGGGCCAAGGAGAAGGCUUUGCUGUAAGGGGACCCAGAAAGCUCACGAGACCCUCAGGCAGACAGAGGCCUUCAGGAAGUGAGGCAGGCACGGUCUGUCUGUCUGUCUGUCUGCCACCCUCUGCUUGACCACUCACCUCUGUGUCCCGUGUUCUUGGGUGUGUAUCUCCUGCCUCUCUCCCACUCCAGACCCUCUUUCUGGGGUCGUGAGUACACAUAGUGGAAUAUGAACGCUGCAUGGCCCCCA
rnacentral:lncRNA from 1 species